rnacentral:rRNA from 1 species
AGCACUGUAGGUGUCAGCAGCCGCGGUAAUACGUAGGGGGCUAGCGUUAUCCGGAUUUACUGGGCGUAAAGGGUGCGUAGGUGGUUUCUUAAGUCAGGAGUGAAAGGCUACGGCUCAACCGUAGUAAGCUCUUGAAACUGGGAAACUUGAGUGCAGGAGAGGAAAGUGGAAUUCCUAGUGUAGCGGUGAAAUGCGUAGAUAUUAGGAGGAACACCAGUAGCGAAGGCGGCUUUCUGGACUGUAACUGACACUGAGGCACGAAAGCGUGGGGAGCAAACAGGAUUAGAUACCCUGGUAGUCCACGCCGUAAACGAUGAGUACUAGGUGUCGGGGGUUACCCCCCUCGGUGCCGGCAGCUAACGCAUUAAGUACUCCGCCUGGGGAGUACGCUCGCAAGAGUGAAACUCAAAUGAAAUUGGCGGG